rnacentral:rRNA from 1 species
GGUAUAGCAAUUAUACAGCGAAACUGCGAAUGGCUCAUUAUAUAAGUUAUCGUUUAUUUGAUAGUACCUUACUACUUGGAUAACCGUGGUAAUUCUAGAGCUAAUACAUGCUAAAAAUCCCGACUUCGGAAGGGAUGUAUUUAUUAGAUUAAAAACCAAUGCCCUUCGGGGCUCACUGGUGAUUCAUAAUAACUUCUCGAAUCGCAUGGCCUUGCGCCGGCGAUGGUUCAUUCAAAUUUCUUCCCUAUCAACUUUCGAUGCUAGAGUAGUGUUCUAGCAUGGUUACAACGGGUAACGGAGGGUUAGGGCUCGACCCCGGAGAAGGAGCCUGAGAAACGGCUACUACAUCCAAGGAAGGCAGCAGGCGCGCAAAUUACCCAAUCCCGACACGGGGAGGUAGUGACGAUAAAUACUGAUACAGGGCUCUUUUGGGUCUUGUAAUUGGAAUGAGUACAAUUUAAAUCCCUUAACGAGGAACAAUUGGAGGGCAAGUCUGGUGCCAGCAGCCGCGGUAAUUCCAGCUCCAAUAGCGUAUAUUAAAGUUGUUGUGGUUAAAAAGCUCGUAGUAGAACCUUGGGCCUGGCUGACCGGUCCGCCUCACCGCGUGUACUGGUCCGGCCGGGCCCCCACCAUAGUCUAACCGCAUGCCCUUCACUGGGUGUGUUGGCGAAACUAUAUUUUUACUUUGAAAAAAUUAGAGUGCUCCAGGCAGGCCUAUGCUCGAAUACAUUAGCAUGGAAUAAUAGAAUAGGACGUGUGGUUCUAUUUUGUUGGUUUCUAGGACCGCCGUAAUGAUUAAUAGGGACAGUCGGGGGCAUCAGUAUUCAAUUGUCAGAGGUGAAAUUCUUGGAUUUAUUGAAGACUAACUACUGCGAAAGCAUUUGCCAAGGAUGUUUUCAUUUAUCAGGAACGAAAGUUAGGGGAUCGAAGACGAUCAGAUACCGUCGUAGUCUUAACCAUAAACUAUGCCGACUAGGGAUCGGACGAUGUUAUUUUUUGACUCGUUCGGCACCUUACGAGAAAUCAAAGUGCUUGGGCUCCAGGGGGAGUAUGGUCGCAAGGCUGAAACUUAAAGAAAUUGACGGAAGGGCACCACCAGGGGUGGAGCCUGCGGCUUAAUUUGACUCAACACGGGGAAACUCACCAGGUCCAGACACAAUGAGGAUUGACAGAUUGAGAGCUCUUUCUUGAUUUUGUGGGUGGUGGUGCAUGGCCGUUCUUAGUUGGUGGAGUGAUUUGUCUGCUUAAUUGCGAUAACGAACGAGACCUUAACCUGCUAAAUAGCCCGUAUUGCUUUGGCAGUACGCCGGCUUCUUAGAGGGACUAUCGGCUCAAGC